rnacentral:rRNA from 1 species
UUGAACGCUGGCGGCAGGCCUAACACCUGCAAGUCGCACGGUAACAGGAAGCAGCUUGCUGCUUCGCUGACGAGUGGCGGACGGGUGAGUAAUGUCUGGGAAGCUGCCUGAUGGAGGGGGAUAACUACUGGAAACGGUAGCUAAUACCGCAUAAUGUCGCAAGACCAAAGAGGGGGACCUUCGGGCCUCUUGCCAUCGGAUGUGCCCAGAUGGGAUUAGCUUGUUGGUGGGGUAACGGCUCACCAAGGCGACGAUCCCUAGCUGGUCUGAGAGGAUGACCAGCCACACUGGAACUGAGACACGGUCCAGACUCCUACGGGAGGCAGCAGUGGGGAAUAUUGCACAAUGGGCGCAAGCCUGAUGCAGCCAUGCCGCGUGUAUGAAGAAGGCCUUCGGGUUGUAAAGUACUUUCAGCGGGGAGGAAGGGAGUAAAGUUAAUACCUUGGCUCAUUGACGUUACCCGCAGAAGAAGCACCGGCUAACUCCGUG